GGAAGGAUCAUUAUUGAAUUUUGAAGUGGGACGCUUGAGCUGGCAUGUUCAGGUGCUCGGCGUCUCCCAUUCAUGUCCAAUUCAACCCCUGUGCACUAUUGAGAACGUGAGUUGGGGUGUGUGUGUGGUUAGUGGUUCGUUCAUUUCCUYAUUUGGGUUGAACUUAGUGUGACCGCUUGCCCUCCGCUUUCGUUUCUUACUACAAACUCUUUUAUAUUGUCUUGUCGAAUGUAAUCGCCUUUAAAUAGGCAAAGUCUAAAUACAACUUUCAACAACGGAUCUCUUGGCUCUCGCAUCGAUGAAGAACGCAGCGAAAUGCGAUAAGUAAUGUGAAUUGCAGAAUUCAGUGAAUCAUCGAAUCUUUGAACGCACCUUGCGCUCCUUGGUAUUCCGAGGAGCAUGCCUGUUUGAGUGUCAUUAUAUACUCAACUCGCUUGAUUCUGUAUGGAGUCGCUCGAGUUGGACUUGGAGGUACUGCUGGCCCUCGCGGGUCGGCUCCUCUCAAAUGCAUUAGCUGAGCUUUCAUUGGAUGCAAUGGUGUAWWAAUCAACUUCACCGAUGCAACCCGUGAUCGAGGCUUGCUUCCAAUCGUCGUCUUCGGACGACACCAUAAAAGGCAGUGAUGUCUUUUUGACUCUUUUGACCUCAAAUCAGGUAGGAUUACCCGCUGAACUUAAGCAUAUC
rnacentral:rRNA from 1 species